UGGAUAUGAUGAGCUCCACUUCAUGGUCCGUGUUUCUGAACCGAAGUGAUAUCAAUGGAAGUUCUGAUUAC
rnacentral:snoRNA from 12 species